rnacentral:misc_RNA from 1 species
UGGCUCUCGCAUCGAUGAAGAACGCAGCGAAAUGUGAUAAGUAAUGUGAAUUGCAGAAUUCAGUGAAUCAUCGAAUCUUUGAACGCACCUUGCGCUCUCUGGUAUUCCGGAGAGCAUGUCUGUUUGAGUGUCAUGAACUCUUCAACCCACCGGUUCCUUGUUGGAUCGAGUUGGAGUUUGGAUCUUGAACGUUGCUGGCUUACUCUUAAUUUCGGUUAAGGGAAAAAAAGCGUAGCUCGUUCGUAAUACAUUAGCAUCUCAAUUUCUGAACUUCGGAUUGACUCAGCGUUAUAGACUAUUCGCUGAGGACACAAGUAACAUUGUGGCCGAGUUGAAAGAUAACUAGAAGCUUCUAAUCCCUUACUAGUCAAAACUAUAAGAUUAGACCUCAGAUCAGGCAGGAUUACCCGCUGA